rnacentral:lncRNA from 1 species
AGAAUUUUAAGUGCUGUGGUAGGGAGUCGUGUCAAAAAAUUACUGGCAGGGUACGACAUAGUUUGUGUCGGUCAUAAAAAAUUCAUAUGUGCCGACACAUAAUAGUAAUGAAAUAUUUAUUUUCUUUAGCAACAAAAUAUUUUAACUAUUUAUUAUGUAUUUUUAUCAAAUCUUUUGAAUUUUAUUGAGAAAAUUACUUACUAAUUUAAAAAGCAGAGGGUUUUUAGCUGUGCCGUCGGCAACGAGGGCUGUAUCAUGCCGAUAUCUUGAUGGUACGAUACGAUACGGUAGAUACAGCUCGUGCCGAUAAACACUUAAAUUCUUGAUAUUUAUAAUAUUUUAUAAAUUUUGAGGG